rnacentral:rRNA from 1 species
GAUCAUGGCUCAGGACGAACGCUGGCGGCGUGCCUAAUACAUGCAAGUAGAACGCACAGUUUAUACCGUAGCUUGCUACACCAUAGACUGUGAGUUGCGAACGGGUGAGUAACGCGUAGGUAACCUGCCUGGUAGCGGGGGAUAACUAUUGGAAACGAUAGCUAAUACCGCAUAAUAUUGAUUAUUGCAUGAUAAAUUGAUUGAAAGAUGCUAUUGCAUCACU